AGAGUUUGAUCCUGGCUCAGAGUGAACGCUGGCGGCGUGCCUAAUACAUGCAAGUCGAACGGAGAUUAAGUAGCUUGCUAUUUAAUCUUAGUGGCGCACGGGUGAGUAAUAUAUAGCUAACUUGCCCAUUACUAAGGGACAACAGUUGGAAACGACUGCUAAUACCUUAUACUCCGUAUCUACAUAAGUAGGUACGGGAAAGUUUUUCGGUAAUGGAUAGGGCUAUAUCGUAUCAGCUAGUUGGUAAGGUAACGGCUUACCAAGGCUAUGACGCGUAACUGGUCUGAGAGGAUGAUCAGUCACACUGGAACUGAGACACGGUCCAGACUCCAACGGGAGGCA
rnacentral:rRNA from 1 species